CGCUGGCGGCAGGCCUAACACAUGCAAGUCGAGCGGAAACGGCAGUAUUGAAGCUUCGGUGGAUUUACUGGACGUCGAGCGGCGGACGGGUGAGUAACGGCUGGGAACCUGCCCUGACGAGGGGGAUAACCGUUGGAAACGACGGCUAAUACCGCAUAAUGUCUACGGACCAUAGGUGGCCUCUACAUGUAAGCUAUCGCGUUGGGAUGGGCCCAGUUAGGAUUAGCUAGUUGGUAAGGUAAUGGCUUACCAAGGCAACGAUCCUUAGCUGGUUUGAGAGGAUGAUCAGCCACACUGGGACUGAGACACGGGCCAGACUCCUACGGGAGGCAGCAGUGGGGAAUAUUGCACAAUGGGGGAGACCCUGAUGCAGCCAUGCCGCGUGUGUGAAGAAGGCCUUCGGGUUGUAAAGCACUUUCAGCAGUGAGGAAGGUCGUGUACUUAAUACGUGCACGGCUUGACGUUAGCUGCAGAAGAAGCACCGGCUAACUCCGUGCCAGCAGCCGCGGUAAUACGGAGGGUGCGAGCGUUAAUCGGAAUUACUGGGCGUAAAGCGCAUGCAGGCGGUUUGUUAAGUCAGAUGUGAAAGCCCGGGGCUCAACCUCGGAACCGCAUUUGAAACUGGCAGGCUAGAGUCUUGUAGAGGGGGGUAGAAUUUCAGGUGUAGCGGUGAAAUGCGUAGAGAUCUGAAGGAAUACCAGUGGCGAAGGCGGCCCCCUGGACAAAGACUGACGCUCAGAUGCGAAAGCGUGGGUAGCAAACAGGAUUAGAUACCCUGGUAGUCCACGCCGUAAACGCUGUCUACUUGGAGGUUGAGGUUUUAGACUUUGGCUUUCGGCGCUAACGCAUUAAGUAGACCGCCUGGGGAGUACGGCCGCAAGGUUAAAACUCAAAUGAAUUGACGGGGGCCCGCACAAGCGGUGGAGCAUGUGGUUUAAUUCGAUGCAACGCGAAGAACCUUACCUACUCUUGACAUCCAGCGAAGCCUUUAGAGAUAGAGGCGUGCCUUCGGGAGCGCUGAGACAGGUGCUGCAUGGCUGUCGUCAGCUCGUGUUGUGAAAUGUUGGGUUAAGUCCCGCAACGAGCGCGCAACCC
rnacentral:rRNA from 1 species